UACGAAGGGGGCUAGCGUUAAUCGGAAUUACUGGGCGUAAAGCGUGCGCAGGCGGUGAUGUAAGACCGAUGUGAAAUCCCCGGGCUUAACCUGGGAACUGCAUUGGUGACUGCAUUGCUGGAGUAUGGCAGAGGGGGGUAGAAUUCCACGUGUAGCAGUGAAAUGCGUAGAGAUGUGGAGGAAUACCGAUGGCGAAGGCAGCCCCCUGGGAUAACACUGACGCUCAUGCACGAAAGCGUGGGGAGCAAACAGG
rnacentral:rRNA from 1 species